CAAUAGCGUAUAUUAAAGUUGUUGCGGUUAAAAAGCUCGUAGUUGGAUUUCUGUUGAGAGCAGCGCGUCUACCUUUUGGGUAAGUAUGUUGCUUGGUCUCGGCAUCUUCGUGGAAGACGUUUCUGCGCUUGAUUGCGUGGGGCGGGGUUCACGACUUUUACUUUGAGGAAAUUAGAGUGUUCACGGCAGGCAUACGCCUUGAAUAUAUUAGCAUGGAAUAAUAAUAUAGGAUCUUGAUUCUAUUUUGUUGGUUUCUAGAGUUAAGAUAAUGAUUAAUAGGGACAAUUGGGGGCAUUCGUAUUAACGCGUCAGAGGUGAAAUUCUUGGAUUGCGUUACGACGAACUACUGCGAAAGCAUUUGCCAAGGAUGUUUUCAUUGAUCAAGAACGAAAGUAAGGGGAUCGAAGAUGAUCAGAUACCGU
rnacentral:rRNA from 1 species